rnacentral:snRNA from 1 species
GCUUUUGUUUGGUACUGCUUUAAACAAAAUGAUGCAAUAUUAAAGUAGAGUUCUAGCAUGUCCCCUGAGCAAGGAUGACAUACAAAUCAGUAAAGUACUCCAUAUUUCA